GAUGAACGCUGGCGGCGUGCCUAAUACAUGCAAGUCGAGCGAACAGACGAGGAGCUUGCUCCUCUGACGUUAGCGGCGGACGGGUGAGUAACACGUGGAUAACCUACCUAUAAGACUGGGAUAACUUCGGGAAACCGGAGCUAAUACCGGAUAAUAUAUUGAACCGCAUGGUUCAAUAGUGAAAGACGGUUUUGCUGUCACUUAUAGAUGGAUCCGCGCCGCAUUAGCUUGUUGGUAAGGUAACGGCUUACCAAGGCAACGAUGCGUAGCCGACCGGAGAGGGUGAUCCGCCACACAGGACCUGGGAGACGGUCCAGGCUCCUACGUGAGGCAGCAGUAGGGAAUCUGCCGCAAUGGGCGAAAGAUUGACGGAGCAACGCCGCGUGAGUGAUGAAGGGCUUCGGAUCGUAAAACUCUGUUAUGAGGGAAGAACAAAUGUGUAAGUAACUAUGCACGUCUUGACGGUACCGAAUCAGAAAACCACGGCUAACUACGU
rnacentral:rRNA from 1 species